GGAGUCGGCUCGGCAGUCGCUUCGGUGCUUGCACCGGGGAGGAAAGUCCGGGCUCCACAGGGCAGAGCGCCAGGUAACGCCUGGGGGGCGAGAGCCCACGGAAAGUGCAGCAGAAAGUAAACCGCCUAAGCGACCUCGGUCGCCGGUAAGGGUGAAAUGGUGCGGUAAGAGCGCACCGCGCGACUGGCAACAGUUCGUGGCGAUGGUAAACCCCGCUCGGAGCAAGACCAAAUAGGAACCCGAUGGUGCGGCCCGUACCGGGUUCGGGUAGGUCGCUCGAGGUGCGUGGCGACACGCAUCCCAGAUGAAUGACUGUCCUCGACAGAACCCGGCUUACAGGCCGACUCCGACU
rnacentral:RNase_P_RNA from 1 species